CAGAAACUCAAAGGAAUUGACGGGGGCCCGCACAAGCGGUGGAGCAUGUGGUUCAAUUCGACGCAACGCGAAGAACCUUACCCAGGCUUGAACAGCGAGUGACCAUCGACGAAAGUCGACUUCCGCAAGGACACUCGUAGAGGUGCUGCAUGGCUGUCGUCAGCUCGUGUCGUGAGAUGUUGGGUUAAGUCCCGCAACGAGCGCAACCCUUGUUUGCUGUUGCCAUCAGGUAAUGCUGGGCACUCUGCAAAGACUGCCGGUGAUAAACCGGAGGAAGGUGGGGAUGACGUCAAGUCAGCAUGGCCUUUAUGUCUGGGGCUACACACGUGCUACAAUGGCCGGUACAAACCGUCGCAAAACCGCAAGGUGGAGCUAAUCGGAGAAAGCCGGUCUCAGUUCGGAUAGCAGGCUGCAACUCGCCUGCUUGAAGUUGGAAUCGCUAGUAAUCGCGGAUCAGCACGCCGCGGUGAAUACGUUCCCGGGCCUUGUACACACCGCCCGUCACAUCACGAAAGCCGGUUGUACUAGAAGUCGCCAUACCAACCCGCAAGGGAGAGGAGGCGCCUAAGGUAU
rnacentral:rRNA from 1 species